rnacentral:rRNA from 1 species
AUUGAACGCUGGCGGCAGGCUUAACACAUGCAAGUCGAGCGGAGAUGAGGUGCUUGCACCUUAUCUUAGCGGCGGACGGGUGAGUAAUGCUUAGGAAUCUGCCAUUUAGUGGGGGACAACAUUCCGAAAGGAAUGCUAAUACCGCAUACGUCCUACGGGAGGAAGCAGGGGAUCUUUGGACCUUGCGCUAAAUGAUGAGCCUAAGUCGGAUUAGCUAGUUGGUGGGGUAAAGGCCUACCAAGGCGACGAUCUGUAGCGGGUCUGAGAGGAUGAUCCGCCACACUGGGACUGAGACACGGCCCAGACUCCUACGGGAGGCAGCAGUGGGGAAUAUUGGACAAAGGGGGGAACCCUGAUCCAGCCAUGCCGCGUGUGUGAAGAAGGCCUUAUGGUUGUAAAGCACUUUAAGCGAGGAGGAGGCUACUGAGACUAAUACUCUUGGAUAGUGGACGUUACUCGCAGAAUAAGCACCGGCUAACUCUGU